AAACUUGAGAGUUUGAUCCUGGCUCAGAACGAACGCUGGCGGCAUGCCUAACACAUGCAAGUCGAACGAACCCUUCGGGGUUAGUGGCGCACGGGUGCGUAACGCGUGGGAACCUGCCUUUAGGUUCGGAAUAACUCAGAGAAAUUUGAGCUAAUACCGGAUAAUGUCUUCGGACCAAAGAUUUAUCGCCUUUAGAUGGGCCCGCGUUAGAUUAGAUAGUUGGUGGGGUAAUGGCCUACCAAGUCGACGAUCUAUAGCUGGUCUGAGAGGAUGAUCAGCCACACUGGGACUGAGACACGGCCCAGACUCCUACGGGAGGCAGCAGUGGGGAAUAUUGGACAAUGGGCGAAAGCCUGAUCCAGCAAUGCCGCGUGAGUGAUGAAGGCCUUAGGGUUGUAAAGCUCUUUUACCAGGGAUGAUAAUGACAGUACCUGGAGAAUAAGCUCCGGCUAACUCCGUGCCAGCAGCCGCGGUAAUACGGAGGAUCCAAGCGUUAUCCGGAAUCAUUGGGUUUAAAGGGUCCGUAGGUGGAUAAUUAAGUCAGAGGUGAAAGUCUGCAGCUCAACUGUAGAAUUGCCUUUGAUACUGGUUAUCUUGAGUUAUUAUGAAGUAGUUAGAAUAUGUAGUGUAGCGGAGAAAUGCAUAGAUAUUACAUAGAAUACCAAUUGCGAAGGCAGAUUACUAAUAAUAUACUGACACUGAUGGACGAAAG
rnacentral:rRNA from 1 species